CCUACGGGAGGCAGCAGUCGAGAAUCAUUCACAAUGGGGGAAACCCUGAUGGUGCGACGCCGCGUGGGGGAAUGAAGGUCUUCGGAUUGUAAACCCCUGUCAUGUGGGAGCAAAUUAAAAAGAUAGUACCACAAGAGGAAGAGACGGCUAACUCUGUGCCAGCAGCCGCGGUAAUACAGAGGUCUCAAGCGUUGUUCGGAAUCACUGGGCGUAAGGCGUGCGUAGGCUGUUUCGUAAGUCGUGUGUGAAAGGCGCGGGCUCAACCCGCGGACGGCACAUGAUACUGCGAGACUAGAGUAAUGGAGGGGGAACCGGAAGUCUCGGUGUAGCAGUGAAAUGCGUAGAUAUCGAGAGGAACACUCGUGGCGAAGGCGGGUUCCUGGACAUUAACUGACGCUGAGGCACGAAGGCCAGGGGAGCGAAAGGGAUUAGAUACCCUUGUAGUC
rnacentral:rRNA from 1 species